UCUUGGAGAUGGAUAUUGAGGACCGAUAGCCAAACCCGAUUCCUCCACAAGGUAAGUAGGUAAGUAGGAGCCACACAAUGGUGUCUAUCAGCCUAUACCUUGUACUGUCUAUAAACCAAAAUACACUGUACUUGUUCCAAAGUGUUCCAUUCCCCGUGAAGAAAAUGCAGCAGUAUGAUGUUGGCUAUAAAGUUUUUUGGAGAACUCCCUUCCCUUCUCUGUUAGUCACUCAUCCAGUCUCUACUCCUUCAAAAAAAAUCUUUGAAAACACACUUCUUCAAAAAAGCAUAUCAUUGAAACGGUUAGUGGAUUUUCAUUCCCCCCUCCCCUUCCCAUGACUAUUCUCCUGCAACUAUCAAAAAUAACCUACUAAGUUCCCAGUGAAUACUUUUCUAGCAACCUAUUUUAUUACCACUACUUAUACCCUUUGUGUCACUAUAGCCCACUCCCUCUAGCAUGUAAGCUCAUUGAGCAGGGCACUUACUGUGCAUCCAUUUGUCUGGUUACAAUUACGUGUCUGUUAGCCCACCCAUUAUACAGCACUACGGAAUUUUGCUGGCGCUAUAUAAAUAAUAAAAUAAUAAAUAUACAAAAAAAAAUUAGCUAUAUCGAUAGGAUUCAUGAGAGGCAUUGUUGCUAACAAACUCUGCCAGCCAUGUCCUAUUAAUGGUUUAAGAUAAAACAGUGUAAGUACUGCUCUAGGAAUUGAUUUUCUAAUUCGGCAGCUCCAUUGAACUGGGCAUGGUAAGUGGAAGAAAAAAAAAACAGAGCAAUACCUAUCUGAGAAAAAUAAAUUAACUGGUUACCUCGAUCAGACACAAUCUGUUAUGGAAUACCAAGUAAACACCUCUUUGCUGCAGAUAAUGGCUAAUUCCCAAGAAAAGAAGAUGGCAAGUUUUUGAAGUGGUACAAAAUCAGUGUCACAGUACAUCCAUCAGAAAUGGGCAGAUCUAUUAUGAAUUCCAAGUUUUGCUGGCAAUAGGUAAGCCACAGGGCAAUUUGCUAGAGUCAAAGUAUCUCUUAAACACAUCACACUCUUAUAUAUGUAUAUAUCCUUUGACAUCCUUACUCAAGGAGGGCUACCAAAUUACAUGAGAGAGAGUGGAUAUGGUUUUAGACACACCUGGAUUAACUACUGACAUAGUAUCAUGAAAGAAAGACAUCAAGGUUAGUCUGUCACCAGGAAUCACAAACAAUUUGUUUGGUGUUUCUUGGCUAGGUGCUUGAGUUUGUUCAGACUGUAUACAUUUCAAGACAGGGAAGGAAAUAGUAAGGACAGUAGAAGCAAUUAUCCUAUCUGGAGGAAUUAUAUUAAUUAAUAAUUAUUAAUCCUGGU